rnacentral:rRNA from 1 species
GCAUAAUCAUUUGCCUCUUAAUUAGAGGCUAGUAUGAAUGGAUAUAUGAGAUUAUAACUGUCUCUCUUUUUUUUAUAUAAAUUGUCUUAUAGGUGCAGAGACCUAUAUUUUAAUGAAAGACAAAAAGACCCUAUUGAGCUUUAUUUUUAAAAGGUAUUUUUAGAUAUACAACUUUAUAACUUUAUAAAAUUUGGUUGGGGCGACAAAGAAAUAUAUAAAUCUUUUUUUAUAUUUGAGAAUUUUAUUUCUUUUUAAGGAUCUAUAUUAUAGAAAAUAGAAAUAGUUACCAUAGGGAUAACAGGCUAAUUCUUUUGGAGAGUUCAUAUUGAUAAAAGAGUUUGGCACCUCGAUGUUGGCUUAAGAUAUCCUAUAGGUGUAGCAGC